rnacentral:rRNA from 1 species
GAUGAACGCUGGCGGCGUGCCUAACACAUGCAAGUCGAACGGUGAUAUAUAGAUGAUUUCGGUCUGAAAUAUAUCAUAGUGGCGGACGGGUGAGUAACGCGUGGACAACCUGCCCCGUACUGGGGGAUAGCAGCUGGAAACGGCUGGUAAUACCGCAUAAGCGCACGAGGGGGCCUCCCCCUGUGUGAAAAGAUUCAUCGGUACGGGAUGGGUCCGCGUCUGAUUAGCCAGUUGGCGGGGUAACGGCCCACCAAAGCGACGAUCAGUAGCCGGCCUGAGAGGGUGAACGGCCACAUUGGGACUGAGACACGGCCCAG